rnacentral:rRNA from 1 species
CCUACGGGGGGCAGCAGUGGGGAAUAUUGGACAAUGGGGGCAACCCUGAUCCAGCCAUGCCGCGUGUGUGAAGAAGGCCCUCGGGUUGUAAAGCACUUUCAGUGAGGAAGAACGCCUGGUGGUUAAUACCCAUCAGGAAAGACAUCACUCACAGAAGAAGCACCGGCUAACUCCGUGCCAGCAGCCGCGGUAAUACGGAGGGUGCGAGCGUUAAUCGGAAUUACUGGGCGUAAAGCGCGCGUAGGUGGCUUGAUAAGCCGGUUGUGAAAGCCCCGGGCUCAACCUGGGAACGGCAUCCGGAACUGUCAAGCUAGAGUGCAGGAGAGGAAGGUAGAAUUCCCGGUGUAGCGGUGAAAUGCGUAGAGAUCGGGAGGAAUACCAGUGGCGAAGGCGGCCUUCUGGACUGACACUGACACUGAGGUGCGAAAGCGUGUGUAGCAAACAGGAUUAGAUACCCGGGUAGUC